ensembl:lncRNA
GGGGGGUUUACAGUAAUUAACUGUGUGAUCACAGCCACAUGGCGGGUCAGAGACUGAGGACACUGAGCCUGCACAGGAAGCGGUCAGCACCAGAAUAGCAGGUCACAUACUGCAGGCAGCACGCUUUAUGCAGAGCCUGGUGCUAACAGCAUCUCACGGGCCAGUUUCAUGUUUCACCCUCAUUGGCAGACCGCACACACCUAUUAACAGCAAAGUGCCUCCGCCUCCAGCCACCAUGUUUGACUUCACGUCAGCUUCUUUCUUAAGGAAAACUCUGUUAGGGGUCCGUAGUAGCUGACGUCAUGUGGGACGACUUGCUGUGUGCCGGGAUUGGCGCCCUGGUCCACGGGACUGCAUGGACGUAUCUUGAGAAUCUCAAGGCUUCGGCAGAUGACAGCCAAAUUAGUGCCACUCCCCCCAUCACACAGUGGCACCUUUUAGCAGAUGAGCCGUUUGUGUGAACAACAAGCACCGCGGGACACAGCUCUUCACGAGGUGAAAACUUAGAUUCUGUGAAAGUUCUGAAAUCUAUCUGGGUGUUGACUGUCUCCACCGACCAACGACAUGCCCCGAGACAGAGUGUCGCUACACGACGGCCACCUUUAUUAGACGGAUCACGG